rnacentral:lncRNA from 1 species
ACAUUUAUAAAAAAUACAUUAAAAAAAUAAAAUACAACAAAAUACAAAUCCAAAUUAUGGACCUUUACAUACUUCCAAAAAUAAACAAACGCUUAACACAUUAGUGGGAGAUAAUUUAUUAGUGGGAGAUAAAUUAUUAAUUUAUAAAAACAAUUUUAAAAAUAAAACAAUUGAUGCUAAUAUAAGGGAUGGUGACAAUAUAAGGGAUGGUGACAAUAUAAGGGANNNNNNNNNNAAUAUAAGGGAUGGUGACAAUAUAAGGGAUGGUGACAAUAUAAGGGAUGGUGAUAAUAUAAGGGAUGGUGACAAUAUAAGGGGUAGUGACAAUAUAAGGGAUGGUGACAAUAUAAACAAUAAUACUAUUUCUUUGUUGAAAAAUGAAUAUUCUGAUCGUAAUACCAAUUGUUAUAGUAGUUCGGCUGCCUAUACUGACACUAAUAAACAAGAAGAAAAAUCGAAAAAUAAUAAAAAACAAUUCUUACGGAACGGUUAUAAUGGUAAUAUGAAACCAAUUGAUAUAAUGGGAGAUUUUUCGAAAGAAAACGAACAAACUGAGCAAAAUAAACAAGAUGGUCAAGGAAGAAAAGAUGUGGAAGAGAUGACGAUGAAGUUAUUAUAUGAAAAUCACAUCGAUAAAAAUAAUGUUGAUAAAAAUAAUGUUGAUAAAAAUAAUGUUGAUAAAAAUAAUGUUGGUAAAAAUGUUGGUAAAAAUAAUGCUAUUGAAACAGACGAAGAGAUAUAUAGAGGAGAGAAAACAAAAAAGAUAAAGAAACGAUCUGCAUACAAUAAGAAAAAACAUCACUCCACUACCAAUGAAAAUACUUAUACAAAAGAAGAAUUAAAAAAAAAUAUAAUUAUUUCGAAAUCAGCAGAGAAAUAUAUGGAAAUGGUUUUAUCAUUAUUAUAUAAGAAUGUAAAUUUUGAAAAUAAAAAAAAAAUAAAUUUACAAGAUGAGAAAAACGAAUUUCUUAAUUUUUUUGAAUAUAUGGAUAAUAAUACAAAUAAUUGUUUAAGAAAAAAAUAUAAUUUUUUAAAUAAUUUAAAUUAUAAAGAUAAUAGUUUAAGUUGUUUAGAAACAGGAGCUAUAAUAUCACACCCCUUUUUACCAUUUUUUGCUCUUGUACUUAUUAACAACAACCAAAAUGACAUUAUAACAAGUGAAAAUAAAAAAUAUAAUUUAAAUGCAUCUACUAUAGGUAAUGUUAGUGGUACUACAACAACUACAGAUAUACAUGGUAGUACUACUACCAACAAUAAUAAUGUACAAAAUGUAUAUAAAAACAAAUUUAGAAUUAAAUUAUGUAGCUAUUCUAAUACAUAUAAUAAUAUUUCGUAUAAACAUGGUGCAAUUUCAACUAUAUCUUGGAAUAGUACAGGAAAUCUUCUAUUUGUAGGUGAUAACAUCGGUUAUUUAUAUAUAUAUAAUAUUUUUAUGGGAACAUUUAUGGGUACAUUUACUAAUAAAAAAAAAAAAAAAAAAAAAAAAAAAAUGUUAAACAAAAGAGGUUAUAUUUUAAAAGAAGCAAUGUGUGUAAUCAAACUGCAUGACGAAAUUAUAGAUGUCCAAUGUUUAGGUGAAAAUAAUUUUUUUUUAAUAAGUAUAGGAAAAGGUGUAAAUGUUAAAUCUGUUAAUAAACAUACUGUAUGUAUAAAUACUAAUAUGAUAACAAAUGAAUUGGAAGAAGAAUUGCAACGUAAAAAUGAGGAAAGAUAUAAAAAUAAAAACUCGGAAUGUAAGAAAGUUGUUACUGAUGGUGAUGCUACUGGUGGUACUGUUGCUAGUGGUACUGUUGCUAGUGAUACUGUUGCUAGUGAUACUGUUGCUAGUGGUACUGUUGCUAGUGGUACUGUUGCUAGUGGUACUACUACUACUACUACUACUACUACUACUACUACUACUACUGCUACUACUGCUACUACUACUACUACUACUGCUACUACUACUACUGCUGCUACUACUACUACUACUGCUGCUACUACUGCUACUACUACUACAUUAACAUCUAACAGAUAUAACAAUGCAAAUCAAUUGAAAAAACCCGAACUGGUUUCUUUAAUACCAUCAUCAGUUUUAAGUACUGCUGCCAACUUAAAAAUAGAAAAAAAUACACAGGAGAAUAAAAUGGAUCAAACUAUGGUUGAUACAAGCAUGACUGAUACAAGUAUAGCGGAUACACAUAUGGUUGAUACGAACAUAAUUCUUAAUACGAAUGAUAAACAAUCACAACUGAUAGAAACAAAAAAAUUAAUGAACACGGGAGAUAAACAAGGAAAUAUGAAUAGUUUAUAUUAUUAUGAAAAUAACAAACAAACACCCAUUUCGAAUAAAAGUGAUGAAAAUGAGUUAGAACUUAUACGCAGCACUAACAACAAUUACAAUAACAAUAACAAUAACAAUAACA